rnacentral:lncRNA from 1 species
UCGCACUUGGGUCCACUGACCCAGAGAGGAUACUCUAACUCAGAACUGAUCAAACCCAAUCUCUCUAUGGCUCUCGAAGCAAUAAAGGAAUGAGAAGCACCGGGGUCCAUCAAAGCAUACACAUCUGAACACCCAAUGAUGAGAUUACCUGACACCACUGUGUUCGAUGUAUUAGCCUCCUCCUGAGUCACAGUGAAAAU